GGGUCAGUAGGUUGGUCGUGCCACCGGUACGUACUGGUCUCACUGAUUCCUCCUUCCUGAAGAACCGUAAUGCCAUUAAUUUGGUGCUGCGGGGAAACAGGACUGUUACUUUGAAAAAAUUAGAGUGUUUAAAGCAAGCUAACGCUUGAAUACAUUAGUAUGGAAUAAUGAAAUAGGACGAUCGAUCCUAUUUUGUUGGUUUCUGGGAUUGACGUA
rnacentral:rRNA from 1 species